rnacentral:rRNA from 1 species
UCAAACGAAGAAAGGCUUAUGGUGGAUGCCUAGGCACCCAGACACGAGGAAGGGUGUAAUGAAUGAUGAAAUGCUUAGGGAGUUGAAAAUAAGCAUAGAUCCGAAGAUUCCUGAAUAAGUCAACCUUUCGAACUACUGCUGAAUCCAUGGGCAGGCAAGAGACAACCUAGGGAACUGAAACAUCUUUGUAGACAGAGGAAAAGAAAGCAAAAGUGAUUCCCAUAGUAGUGGCGAGCAAAAUGAAAGCAGCCUAAACCAUGAAAAUGGGGUUGUAGGAAAGCAAUACAGGGGUCGUACUGCUAGAAGAAGUGGUGGAGUGCUGCAUCCUAGAUGGAUAGAGUCCAGUAGCUAAAAGUAUCGCUCUGACCCGAGUAGCAUGGGACACGUGGAAUCCCAUGUGAAUCAGUAAGGACCACCUUGCGCGGCUAAAUACUCAUGGGUGACCGAUAAUGAAGUAGUACCAUAAGGGAAGGGUGAAAAAAAAAACCCCAUCGGGGAGUGCAAUAGAUCAUGAAAUUGUAAGCUCCCAAGUAGUGCGAGGAGACCAAGGCUCUGACUGUGUGCUUGUUGAAAAAUGAGUCGGUGACUUAUAGGCAGUGGCUUGGUUAAAGGAACCCACUGGAGCCGUAGCAAAAGUGAGUCUUCAUAGGGCAGUUGUUACUGCUUAUGGACCCUAACCUAGGAUGAAGCUUGGGUGAAACUAAGUGGAGGUCCGAAUCGACUGAUGUUGAAGAAUUAAUGGAUGAGUUAUGGUUAGGGGUGAAAUGCCACUCGAACCCAAAGCUAGCUGGUUCUCCCCGAAAUGCAUUGAGGUACAACAGUUGACUGGACAUCUAGGCGAAGAGCGGUACCAAAUCGAGGCAAACUCUGAAUACUAGAUAUGACCUCAAAAUAAUAGGGGUCAAGGUUGGCCAGUGCGAUGAUUGGAGAUAAGCUUCAUCAUCGAGAGGGAAACAGCCCGGAUCACCAACUAAGGCCCCUAAAUGACCGCUCAGUGAUAAAGGAGGUAGGGGUAUAGAGAUAACCAGGAGGUUUUUCUAGAAGCAGGCACCCUUGAAAUAGUGCGUAAUAACUCACUGAUCGAGUGCUAAGUGAUUUGCCGAAGCUGAACGGAGCUAAGCAAUUUGCCGAAGCUGUGAGACAUAAAAAUACAUCGAUAAGGGAGUGUUCCUCUUAGAGGGAAGCACUAGCAUGAGUAGUUGAUGUGAUUCCGCCCGAGCCUGCUCAACCAAUAACCCGUUGGGGUGCUGACCCGACACAGAUAAAGAUCGGGCCAAUUACAAGAGCUCAAAUUAAGAGAUUUAUGGAUAACCUGGAAGCAUUUAUAUAGGGGGUAAUCAACUCUCAAUAGAGCUUGUCCAUACUAGAAGAUACAAAGCCUAUUCUAAGCAUCCAAGUGGUGGAAGUCGAUAUGGACCCGAGUAACGAUUUUGGUGCAAAUAUGGGCACCUAGCAACAUGAAAUGGUUCCAACUCUUUAUGGAUUCAAUACAUAUGUAUAAGAGGAUAUGGAAUCAAAUCAAUCCAACUUCAAAGGCUUUCAAAAAGGGGUUGUACGGACAGCUUCAAAUUUGGCCUAUUUUUACUGUAUUUUGUGCUGACUUUACUGUAUUUUGCUGAGUUGGCUUUUUCUCUUUCUUCAAAACAAGGGCAACGUGUGGGACUUCAUGGUAAGAUUAUUUGGCAUCCUAAAAAGCAUAUUGAAGUUGAUUUGGAGCUCAAAUUGGUCAAAGAAUGGUCAAAGUCAACUUAGUCAAAAAGCUAGUAUUUUAGUUUCCUAAUUUGAUUCUCCUUUUUGUUUUAGGAAAUUACCAUUACUUUUUUGUUUUUAUUUAUUUAUUUUCUGGACAAAUAGGUUUGAGAAAGUUCUUAUUUUAUUAUUUUCAUUGUAAAUUAAUUAUUUCCUAAUCCAAAAUAAAGGAAUUAAUUAAUUAGAAUUUAGAUUUAGGAAAGUAGGAAAUUCGGCCACUUUAGGAAAGGUUAUUGAAUGGCCAGUUUUCCUUAUGUCUUCUAGGGUUUAUUAUGUGAAUUUUCUAGCUACUUAAAGGUUUGUUUUAUCAAUAAUAAUCAGUAUAUUAUUCAUACAGAAAAUUAACUGUGAGAGUGAAUUCUCUUUGUUCUCUUUGAACACCUAAAACAUCAUUAGUGAAUGAGUGUUUUAGUUUGACUUAUCAAUAGAACAUCCAUCACCUAUUGUGGCGUCUUCAUUAUAUACCAAGGUUUCUAAUCACAGGUUGGUUAGGGUCAAGGUGACCAUUAGAACUUGAACAUAAUUAGAUUUGGGCUAAUAUAAUACGGGUUUAGGAGCAGGUCAUCCUAGGUUCGUAUCAGCAGUGGUAGAUGAAGCAGAAGCUAGAAUGUCAACUUUAGUAACACAAAAAUUGGUGAGAAUCCAAUGGCCUGAAAACCUAAGGGUUCCUCCAUAAGGUUUAUCCAUGGAGGGUGAGUCAGGGCCUAAGAUCAUGUCGAAAGGCACAGUCGAUGGACAACAGGUGAAUAUUCCUGUACUACCCCCUAUUGGUUUAGAGGGAUGGAGGAUGCUAGGUUAGCCGAAAGAUGGUUAUCAAUUCAAGGAUGCAAGGUGCCCCUGCUUUUUCAGGGUAAGAAAGGGUAGAGAAAAUGCCCUGAGCCAAUGUUUGAGUACCAGGCGCUAUGACGCUGAAGUAACCCAUGCCAUACUCCAAGGAAAAACUCGAACGACCUUCAACAAAAGGGUACCUGUACCCGAAACUAACACAAUUGGGUAGGUAUAGUAUACCUAGAGGUGCGAGACAAGUCUCUCUAAGGAACUAGGCAAAAUAGCCCCAUAACUUCGGGAGAAGGGCUGCCUCCUCACAGAGGGGGUCGUAGUGACCCAGCCCGGGUGACUGUUUAACAAAAACACAGGUCUCUGCAAAGUCAUAAGACCAUGUAUUGGGGCUGACGCCUGCCAGUGCUGGAAGGUCAAGGAAGUUAGUGACCUGAUGACAAGGGAGCU